AGAUUAAGUUAUUAAGGGCGCACGGUGGAUGCCUUGGCACUAGAAGCCGAUGAAGGACGUUACUAACGACGAUAUGCUUUGGGGAGCUGUAAGUAAGCUUUGAUCCAGAGAUUUCCGAAUGGGGAAACCCAGCAUGAGUUAUGUCAUGUUAUCGAUAUGUGAAUACAUAGCAUAUCAGAAGGCACACCCGGAGAACUGAAACAUCUUAGUACCCGGAGGAAGAGAAAGAAAAUUCGAUUCCCUUAGUAGCGGCGAGCGAAACGGGAAGAGCCCAAACCAACAAGCUUGCUUGUUGGGGUUGUAGGACACUCUAUACGGAGUUACAAAGGACGACAUUAGACGAAUCAUCUGGAAAGAUGAAUCAAAGAAGGUAAUAAUCCUGUAGUCGAAAAUGUUGUCUCUCUUGAGUGGAUCCUGAGUACGACGGAGCACGUGAAAUUCCGUCGGAAUCUGGGAGGACCAUCUCCUAAGGCUAAAUACUCUCUAGUGACCGAUAGUGAACCAGUACCGUGAGGGAAAGGUGAAAAGCACCCCGGAAGGGGAGUGAAAUAGAACCUGAAACCGUGUGCUUACAAGUAGUCAGAGCCCGUUAAUGGGUGAUGGCGUGCCUUUUGUAGAAUGAACCGGCGAGUUACGAUUUGAUGCAAGGUUAAGCAGUAAAUGUGGAGCCGUAGCGAAAGCGAGUCUGAAUAGGGCGUUUAGUAUUUGGUCGUAGACCCGAAACCAGGUGAUCUACCCUUGGUCAGGUUGAAGUUCAGGUAACACUGAAUGGAGGACCGAACCGACUUACGUUGAAAAGUGAGCGGAUGAACUGAGGGUAGCGGAGAAAUUCCAAUCGAACCUGGAGAUAGCUGGUUCUCUCCGAAAUAGCUUUAGGGCUAGCCUCAAGUGAUGAUUAUUGGAGGUAGAGCACUGUUUGGACGAGGGGCCCCUCUCGGGUUACCGAAUUCAGACAAACUCCGAAUGCCAAUUAAUUUAACUUGGGAGUCAGAACAUGGGUGAUAAGGUCCGUGUUCGAAAGGGAAACAGCCCAGACCACCAGCUAAGGUCCCAAAAUAUAUGUUAAGUGGAAAAGGAUGUGGCGUUGCCCAGACAACUAGGAUGUUGGCUUAGAAGCAGCCAUCAUUUAAAGAGUGCGUAAUAGCUCACUAGUCGAGUGACACUGCGCCGAAAAUGUACCGGGGCUAAACAUAUUACCGAAGCUGUGGAUUGUCCUUUGGACAAUGGUAGGAGAGCGUUCUAAGGGCGUUGAAGCAUGAU
rnacentral:rRNA from 1 species